rnacentral:rRNA from 1 species
GUACGAGGCGAGCGUUAUCCGGAAUUACUGGGCGUAAAGCGCGCGCAGGUGGCGCCGUAAGUUGGGCGUGAAAUCUCCCGGCCUAACUGGGAGGGGUCGCCCAAGACUGCGGGGCUUGAGGCUGGCAGAGGUCGGUGGAAUUCCUGGUGUAGUGGUGAAAUGCGUAGAGAUCAGGAGGAACACCGGUGGCGAAGGCGGCCGACUGGGCCAGCACUGACGCUGAGGCGCGAAAGCUCGGGGAGCGAACGGGAUUAGAUACCCCGGUAGUCCGAGCCGUAAACGAUGGGUACUAGGUGUUCGUGGUAUCGACCCCACGGGUGCCGGAGCUAACGCGAUAAGUACCCCGCCUGGGGAGUACGGCCGCAAGGUUA